GUGCUCCCUCUGGCAGCACAUAUACGAAAUUGGAAUGAUACAGAGAUUAGCAUGACCCUGUGCAAGGGUGACACGCAGAUUUGUGAAUCAGUCCGUAUUUUU
ensembl:snRNA U6 U6 spliceosomal RNA